rnacentral:misc_RNA from 1 species
UCGUCAGGCGGGCUAUCGUGAUUCAGCACAGCAUCUGCCCGCGCGGAGCAUCUUGAAUGGCCAUUCUUGUGACACGACCGGUCCCGGAUAACGAGAGGACGGCGGCCGCCCUGCGGGCGCGGGGAUAUGACGCACUGUUGUCGCCGAUGCUGCGGUUCGAGGAAAUUCCGUUUCAUGACGAAGACGACGCAGCCUAUGACGCCGUGAUCCUGACCAGC